UGGGCGGCAAAAGGAAAGAAACUGAAAUCACGCUCAAAGUCACCUUUACAGUGGAGACUCCCACUGCAUUCUUAAGAGGGGAAAACGAACCCAACACAGUGUUGUCUGAAAUGGAGGAGAGUGAGGCAAAGUGGGCAGAACCUCGGAAGGAGGGCAGAUUCAAGCACAAGCAACAUCCUAUAGAUCUCCGUCCCUGACCAACAGCACUGACCGGCACACCUUGUCUUCCCAAUUGGUCUGACAGCUCCUGUCCAUCUGAUUAUAUGGUGAUCUAAAAGCAACAUGCUGUUCAAUUUAUUUUUAAAUAAGCCUAUCAAUAACCUGAAUGGUUCCAGAUAUAAUUGAUUUGAGAACUGCAACAGUGUCAUAUUUACUAUAAAAUCCUUAAUUAUGUA